AGUGGAUGGGGAGCAACCUAGUUGUGCGUGUGUAAAGGUAGUGCCAAGAAAAGCGAUGAUCAUGUUGAAAAUCAAUUCCCGGUACCCGAAACCGACACAGGUGGGCAAGUAGAGAAUACUAAGGGGCGCGAGGUAACUCUCUCCAAGGAACUCGGCAAAAUGACCCCGUAACUUAGGGAGAAGGGGUGCCACCGAGAGGUGGUCGCAGUGAAGAGGCCCAGGCGACUGUUUAGCAAAAACAUAGGUCUCUGCAAACUCGAAAGAGGAGGUAUAGGGGCUGACGCCUGCCCAGUGCCGGAAGGUUAAAGAAGUUGGUCAGUUUUAGGAUGAAGCUAGCGACUGAAGCCCCGGUGAACGGCGGCCGUAACUAUAACGGUCCUAAGGUAGCGAAAUUCCUUGUCGGGUAAGUUCCGACCCGCACGAAAGGCGUAACGAUCUGGGCGCUGUCUCGGAGAGAGGCUCGGCGAAAUAGGAUUGUCUGUGAAGAUACGGACUACCUGCAUUUGGACAGAAAGACCCUAUGAAGCUUUACUAUAGCUUGGAAUUGUGUUCGGGCUUCCUGUGCGCAGGAUAGGUGGGAGGCGUAGAAGGUAUUCUUGUGGGGAUACUGGAGCCAACGGUGAGAUACCACUCUCAGGAGGCUAGAAUUCUAACUUAAUUAAGGACAGUUUCAGGUGGGUAGUUUGACUGGGGCGGUCGCCUCCAAAAAGGUAACGGAGGCGUACAAAGGUUCCCUCAGACUGGUUGGAAAUCAGUCGAAGAGUGCAAAGGCAGAAGGGAGCUUGACUGCGAGAAGUACAGUUCGAGCAGGGUGGAAACACGGUCUUAGUGAUCCGACGGUGCUGUGUGGAAGGGCCGUCGCUCAACGGAUAAAAGUUACUCUAGGAUAACGCUGAUCUCCCCCAAGAGUUCACAUCGACGGGGAGGUUUGGCACCUCGAUGUCGGCUCAUCGCAACCUGGGGCGGAAGUACGUCCCAAGGGUUGGGCUGUUCGCCCAUUAAAGCGGUACGUGAGCUGGGUUCAGAACGUCGUGAGACAGUUCGGUCCAUAUCCGAUGUAGGCGUGAGAAUAUUGAGAGGAGCCUUCCUUAGUACGAGAGGACCGGGAAGGACGCACCGCUGGUGUACCUGUUAUGAUGCCAAUUGUAAACGCAGGGUAGCCAAGUGCGGAGAGGAUAACCGCUGAAAGCAUCUAAGUGGGAAGCCCACCUCAAGAUGAGUAUUCUGGUGUAAGGUCACGGGAAGACGACCCGUAAAUAGGCACGAGGUGGAAGUGCAGAGAUGUAUGAAGCCGAAGUGUACUAAUAGACCGUCGGCUUGACCAU
rnacentral:rRNA from 1 species